rnacentral:sRNA from 1 species
GACAGAUGACAUUGUCAGCCAAUCCCCAAGUGGGAGUGAGGACAUGUCCUGCAAUUCUGAAGGGAUUCUCUGUCACAUGCUCAGUCACUUGGCUCUUCUCUUUCAUAUACUCAGUCGCUUGGCUCUGUGAUCAGAGCCAAAUCCAGGGUUGUGUGAGUGAUGCAAUGAGACAGAGACAAAGCCCAGGAAAUCAGUCUGACCGUUGAAUGAGAAUGACAAAGUCCUCCUUUUCAGGGGCACCACCACGAGGCGAUUUGUGGGCCAUACCAAGGAUGUGCUGAGUGUGGCCUUCUCCUCUGACAACCGGCAGAUUGUCUCUGGAUCUCGAGAUAAAACCAUCAAGCUAUGGAAUACCCUGGGUGUGUGCAAAUACACUGUCCAGGCUGGAAUGCAGUAGUGCGAUCUCGGCUCACUGCAAGCUCUGCCUCCCGGGUUCAUGCCAUUCUCCUACCUCAGCCUCCCGAGUAGCUGGGACUACAGGCGCCUGCCAUCACGAUGAGAGCCACUCAGAGUGGGUGUCUUGUGUCCGCUUCUCACCCAACAGCAGCAACCCUAUCAUCGUCUCCUGCGGCUGGGACAAGCUGGUCAAGGUAUGGAACCUGGCUAACUGCAAGCUGAAGACCAACCACAUUGGCCACACAGGCUAUCUGAACACGGUGACUGUCUCUCCAGAUGGAUCCCUCUGUGCUUCUGGAGGC